AGAGCGAACGCUGGCGGCAGGCCUAACACAUGCAAGUCGAGCGCCCCGCAAGGGGAGCGGCAGACGGGAGAGUAACACGUGGGAACGUACCCUUUGGUUCGGAACAACACAGGGAAACUUGUGCUAAUACCGGAUAAGCCCUUACGGGGAAAGAUUUAUUGCCAAAGGAUCGGCCCGCGUCUGAUUAGCUUGUUGGUGAGGUAACGGCUCACCAAGGCUACGAUCAGUAGCUGGUCUGAGAGGAUGAUCAGCCUCACUGGGACUGAGACACGGCCCAGACUCCUACGGGAGGCAGCAGUGGGGAAUAUUGGACAAUGGGCGCAAGCCUGAUCCAGCCAUGCCGCGUGGAUGAUGAAGGCCCUAGGGUUGUAAAGUCCUUUCGACGGGGAAGAUAAUGACGGUACCCGUAGAAGAACGCCCGGCUAACUUCGCGCCAGCAGCCGC
rnacentral:rRNA from 1 species